CCUACGGGAGGCAGCAGUGGGGAAUAUUGCGCAAUGGGCGAAAGCCUGACGCAGCGACGCCGCGUGAGGGAUGAAGGUCUUCGGAUCGUAAACCUCUGUCAGCAGGGAAGUACGGUCACUGUGCUAAUCAGCAGUGAAUUGACGGUACCUGCAAAGGAAGCACCGGCUAACUCCGUGCCAGCAGCCGCGGUAAUACGGAGGGUGCGAGCGUUAAUCGGAAUUACUGGGCGUAAAGCGCUCGUAGGCGGUAUGUCAAGUCAAGGGGGAAAUCCCCGCGCUCAACGUGGGAACUGCCUUUGAAACUGGCAAACUGGAGUGUGUGAGAGGAUAGUGGAAUUCCAGGUGUAGGAGUGAAAUCCGUAGAUAUCUGGAGGAACAUCAGUGGCGAAGGCGACUAUCUGGCACAUAACUGACGCUGAGGAGCGAAAGCGUGGGUAGCAAACAGGAUUAGAUACCCCGGUAGUC
rnacentral:rRNA from 1 species